rnacentral:lncRNA from 1 species
UCAGCUGGAAGGAGGAUCUUUGCUCUGGCAUUCCACUGGAUAUCCUGAUCUUGUGGAAAGAUUUGGGUAUUCCUGGGUAGGAGAUCUAUCUCAGAGGAGAUCUGCUUUUCCCUGAAGUACAGAGACCAUCUGCCUGAGAUCCAUUUUCAGAAAUCCACUUGAACCCAAGGGAUUUUGUGCUUUACUGGCCCUGAAGAGGUCCCUAGGUGGUUGGUUAUCAUCUCCCAUCCAUCUAGGAAGGAUUUUUAUUUCACUAUCAUUCUGAGGAAAGUAGAACCAGUCCUCUCUCUUCUGUACCAUUGUCAAUCAGCUUCCAGUGGUGGAAGACAAAGUAGAAUUCUGGUCUCAGAAGCACAUUAACCUGCAUUCCUCUGGUGUCCAGUGCAUCAUCAUGAAGGUGACUGAGUUUACAGAGUCUAUUCCAGGGGACCUUGAGCAAGUGAGUUCUACCAAGCUGUAAAGGCUGACUGUGUGGCAAUUAUGCAAGGAUUAGUGAAGCAAAGACUGAAGAGGUUCUGCACCAGCCUGGGCAAAGGGUGACAAUUUUUUUUCCAAUAAAGCAACUUUUGAGGUCA